rnacentral:tRNA from 2 species
GCAGUCGUUGCUGAGUGGUUAAGCCGAUUAACUAGAAAUUCAUUGGGGUCUCCCCGCACAGUUUCGAAUCCUGCCGACUGCG